UUCUUCUUGGUGUUUGAUGAGGAGAGCAAUUUUGCCGGAAAACUGAAAACUUUCUCAAAAGAAUUCUUGAAAAACAAUGGGAAAAAAACAGUUAGGGUGUCGGAAUACGAAACAGAGACGAGGUUAUAUAUAAGUUUUUGACCAGGUUUUCUAUGAACAAAACCGGAACGUUGGUAUUGCUAGAUGGCCGGUUAAUGCGGCGGCUGGAUAUGGCUGAAGUCAUUAUCGGGAUUUGGGAACUGAAAACGAAGGUGAUGGGAGUGAUGGUGUAACGAGAAAUUUCUUCCACGUGGCGUAAUUCACAUACUCGAGGAAUGACCGCGUGAGGAUGAAACAAAAGAAUAUCUCAUUCUCAGCUUAUUGAGGAAAUAUUUGGGCCUUAAAGUAUUCAGCAUUUUUAUUUUAUUUUAUUUUUCACCCUAGCUACGGCAGUUAAUUGCUUUAGGCCCAAUAAGACUUCCAAAGCCUCUCGUGAUAACUUUGUCACAUUUUUUGUUAGAUGGAAUUUUGGAUUUUUGUUACUAUUAGUAUCGGACUAUCGGUGGACGACAUUGUAUUUCUUUUUGAAUUGCAAUGACUGUGGAUAAUUGGAUAUCAUAUCAGGAUGAGUUUAAUAUGUUAUGCAGAUACUGAGAUACAUAAAUUGCCAAGUGACCGGUUUAUUUUGGACCGGUUUAAAGAUGUGACUUUACA